GGGGGGGGGGGGGGGGGGGGGAAUAUCUGGGAGGAAGUGUCCCUAGAGCUAACGUAACCCUUUCAUGUUUGAGACUUGGUUAGGGUUCUGAUCAUACCACAUCUUGUGUUAGCAGCAAAACAAAAAAGAAUCUAUAUCCAAAUAGUUUGAUAAAAUUAAAUAUACUA